CGAUUACUUUUCUACCUGCUUUGCCUCCUCGCGCCCCCAGUUCUGCCCAGCAACUUCAUCCUCCAGUCGAGACCCAGGACUCACGGGAGUUGCACUGGGCCCCGAAGAAUCCAGGUUUGCACCGACAGAGGCCUGGUUUCAUGCAUACCUCAUCUUCCCGGCAGGCAUCCUGCCCCUCACAGAUGGCUGAAAAACACCCCGCCCAGGUUCUUCUGGCUGGUCUGAGAAUUAUAUUGACAUUAAACAGAUUAAACAAAAGUUUAAAACGUGUACCCAUGGGAGAAACUCAGGAAAACCGAUUGAGAACUUUCACUUUUUUACUUAAAGGAAGCACUUGACGUCUUCUCUUUGGCAUAACCAAAUUGCCAGCAUCACUACUCCCGUGCUUUGGGGCCAUUAUUAAGUAAAAUAAGGAUUACUUGAACACACGUACUGUGAUACCGUGAAGUUGAUCUGAUAACUGAGAGGGCUGCUAAAUGACUAAUGGGCAGGUAGAGUAUACAGCGUGGAUAUGCUGGACAAAGGGAUGAUUCACAUCCUGGGGGAGGAGGAGAAGGACAGCGCAAGAUUUCAUCAUGCUACUCACAAUGGACCGCAAUUUAAAACUUAUGAAUUGUUUAUUUGUGGAAUUUUCUAUUUAAUAUUUUUGGACUGUGGUUGACUAUGGUUGACUUCGCUCAGAAAGCGAAACUGCGGAUGAGGGGGGACUACCGUACAGUCUUACCUCUCUGAGAACAAACAGAUCUAGCCAAGACAGGGAACCGAAAAAUAAAUGUGGAGGAGCAAUGUUAGCAGGUUUCUUCAGGAGUAUGCACAGCGAGCGUGGCAAGUGGGAGCAGUGCGGUCCAGAGAGGAGGGCGGCAGGCUCAGAAGGGCAGACUGGAUGGUAGGCUCAGGGGGUGACCAGACUAGAUAAUCAGGCCCAAGGGGUGACCAAGCCAGAAUGGUAGGCUCAGCAGGGCAGGCUGGACAGCAGGCUCAGGGGGUGACCAGGCCAGGUUAGCAGGUUCAAGAGUGACUAGGCUAGGUGACAGGUUCAAGGGGUCACUAGACGGGGGAGACAGCAUCAGUCUGAGACAACAGACUGAGAA